rnacentral:rRNA from 1 species
GACGAACGCUGGCGGCGUGCUUAACACAUGCAAGGCGAACGGAAAGGCCGUGCGGUGGUGGGGUGCUCGAGUGGCGGAGGGGUGGGUAGCACGUGAGUAACCUGCCGUUGACUUCGGGAUACCUUCGGGAAACUGGGGCUCAUACCGGAUAGGAGCUCCUGCUGCAUGGUGGGGGUUGGAAAGUUUCGGCGGUUGGGGAUGGACUCGCGGCUUAUCAGCUUGUUGGUGGGGUAGUGGCUUACCAAGGCUUUGACGGGUAGCCGGCCUGAGAGGGUGCACGGCCACAUGCGGACUGAGAGCGGGCCCAGACUAGUACGGGAGGCAGCACUGGGGAAUAUUGCACAAUGGGCGGAAGACAGAUGCAGGAACGCCGCGUGCCGGAUGACGGCCUUCGGGUUGCAAACCGCUUUCGCCUGUGACGAAGCGUGAGUGACGGUAAUGGGUAAAGAAGCACCGGCUAACUACGUG